CCAAAGGCUCUUUUCAGAGCCACCACCUCCUCCAUUUAAAGAGCCG
rfam:Xenopus tropicalis strain Nigerian Chr02_contig_3651, whole genome shotgun sequence.